rnacentral:rRNA from 1 species
GGCGGCAGGCCUAACACAUGCAAGUCGAGCGGUAGAGAGAAGCUUGCUUCUCUUGAGAGCGGCGGACGGGUGAGUAAUGCCUAGGAAUCUGCCUGGUAGUGGGGGAUAACGUUCGGAAACGGACGCUAAUACCGCAUACGUCCUACGGGAGAAAGCAGGGGACCUUCGGGCCUUGCGCUAUCAGAUGAGCCUAGGUCGGAUUAGCUAGUUGGUGAGGUAAUGGCUCACCAAGGCGACGAUCCGUAACUGGUCUGAGAGGAUGAUCAGUCACACUGGAACUGAGACACGGUCCAGACUCCUACGGGAGGCAGCAGUGGGGAAUAUUGGACAAUGGGCGAAAGCCUGAUCCAGCCAUGCCGCGUGUGUGAAGAAGGUCUUCGGAUUGUAAAGCACUUUAAGUUGGGAGGAAGGGCAGUUACCUAAUACGUGAUUGUUUUGACGUUACCGACAGAAUAAGCACCGGCUAACUCUGUGCCAGCAGCCGCGGUAAUACAGAGGGUGCAAGCGUUAAUCGGAAUUACUGGGCGUAAAGCGCGCGUAGGUGGUUAGUUAAGUUGGAUGUGAAAUCCCCGGGCUCAACCUGGGAACUGCAUUCAAAACUGACUGACUAGAGUAUGGUAGAGGGUGGUGGAAUUUCCUGUGUAGCGGUGAAAUGCGUAGAUAUAGGAAGGAACACCAGUGGCGAAGGCGACC